UCUCUCUUCUGUUCGCUCAUUUUCCAUGGGGAAAAGAAGAAGAAGUAGAUGAAGCAGAUGAUGGAAAAGGGAGAAGAAGAAGAAGAAAGAAGGAUUAAAGAAAUGGCGUCCAUCCUUCCUUUUGUUGUUGAUUCUUUGCCUACCAAUCUCUCCUAAUCUCUACCUGUCAUGUCCCCAUUCGUGUUGAUGUGACCCCUCGCCUCGUUCCCCUGCACCUUCCCCUCUCCUUUUACACGGAAUUCCCGAUUCCUUCCUCUUCACUCCUCCUCUUCCCUCCUUGCCUUUACCCCUCCCUCCCACCUUCCUCCUUCGCCAUUCAUCCUGUCCGGAAAUGCAACCAGACUACCCCGAGGAUCGCGGCUCCGAGAGCUCCGUCGAGUUCCGCGACGCCGUCUCCGGAGAGAGCGGCAAUGGCUGUCAUUCUCCCGGGGUAAAUGAUCAGAGUUCACCAAUUGAGAGUAUACCUGGUGAAGCAUUAACUUCGGUAAAGUCCGACACGGAUUCGAGCCGCACUGCGAAAGCAGGGAAAUCCACCGAGAGUAUGCCUGGCGAAGCAUCGACUUCGGGAAAGUCCGACACAGACUCGAGCCACACUGCGAAAGCAGGGAAAUCCACCAAAAACCACGGCAGCAUAUCCCACUUUGCCUCAAAACUGUUCGACGAGACAAUUCCGUUGAAAAAGAAGCUCAAGUUGCUAAGACGCCUCGCUACUGUGAAACAUGAUGGGACCGUGCAAUUUGAUGUUCCAGGAGAUGUUAAACCUUCGACUCUUGAUUUUGGAACUGGGGUAGUAUACAAUGGAUCUACUCAUGAAGAAACUUUAUCCGAAGAAAUCGAGGAUUUGCGUCCUCUCCAGAUAGUGAUGCUCAUUGUUGGGACCCGAGGAGAUGUGCAGCCUUUUGUUGCAAUCGGACAACGAUUACAGGAACAUGGGCAUAGAGUCAGACUGGCUACUCACUCAAAUUUCAAAGAGUUUGUGUUAACUGCUGGGUUGGAGUUUUUUCCUCUAGGUGGAGACCCUAAAGUUCUUGCUGGAUACAUGGUCAAGAAUAAAGGCUUCCUUCCUUCAGGACCUUCAGAAAUACCCAUCCAACGGAGUCAAAUAAAGGAGAUUAUUUUCUCUUUGUAUCCUGCAUGCAAGGAUCCCGAUCCGGAAACCAACAUAGAAUUUAAUGCAGAUGCAAUAAUUGCCAAUCCUCCAGCUUAUGGACAUACACAUGUCGCGGAGGCGCUUAAUAUACCACUUCAUAUAUUCUUCACAAUGCCAUGGACACCUACCAGCGAAUUUCCCCAUCCUCUUUCCCGUGUGAAACAACCUGUAGGGUACCGGCUAUCCUAUCAAAUUGUGGAUGCGAUGAUUUGGCUUGGAAUAAGAGACAUGAUCAAUGAUUUUAGAAAGAAGAGAUUGAGGCUCAGACCUGUGACAUAUUUACGUGGGCCCUACAUGUCUCCUCCAAAUUUGCCUUACGGUUAUAUCUGGAGUCCUCACUUAGUGCCAAAACCUAAAGACUGGGGCCCUAAGAUUGAUGUAGUUGGAUUUUGUUUCCUUGAUCUUGCAUCAAGUUAUGAACCUCCAGAGUCACUGGUUAAAUGGCUGAAGAAAGAUGAAAAGCAGAAGCCAAUUUACAUUGGUUUCGGUAGCCUUCCAGUUCAAAAACCUGAGAAGAUGACUGAGAUAAUAGUUAAAGCUCUUGAAAUUACUCACCAGAGAGGUAUCAUUAACAAAGGAUGGGGUGGUCUUGGGAAUUUGGAAACGCCAAAAGAGUUUGUGUACUCGUUGGACAAUUGCCCCCAUGACUGGCUUUUUCCCCAGUGCAGUGCUGUGGUACAUCAUGGGGGAGCUGGUACAACUGCUGCUGGCCUGAAGGCUGCGUGCCCGACAACUGUUGUGCCUUUUUUUGGAGAUCAGCCAUUUUGGGGAGAAAGGGUGCAUGCAAGAGGGGUUGGCCCUGCACCCAUUCCAGUUGACGAGUUCUCUCUCGAGAAGUUGGUCAGUGCAAUACACUUCAUGCUAGAUCCAAAGGUGAAGAAAAGUGCGGAGGAACUCGCCAGAGCCAUGGAGAACGAAGAUGGUGUCACGGGGGCCGUGCGAGCCUUUUACAAGCACUUCCCUCAAAGAAACUUGACUUCAGAUUGCCAGCCAUUGCCUAACAAAUCGAGUACGCGGAAAUCAAGUGCACUUUCAAUGAGACGAUGUUUCGGCUGCUCCUGAGUUUUUCCCAUGUCAAGGUUCUCUCAUGUUCCGUGCUUUUUUUACUCCUAUUGUUUAGUUGUUGUAUGUGAUUGUGUAUAUGUCAAAUUGCCAAAGCUUUGGUUCCUUGAUGGCCAGUUUUGCCUCGAGAUUUUGUUCUAUCAUGUAUUUCGGCCUCGAAACCACUACGGAUUUCAUUCCAGUUAGGCGAAUGUCCUUCCAUUCGUUGAGGUGGUUGUAUUUGGCGGAGGGAUGAUGCCUCAUCGGUGCUGAUACACAGUAUAUGAUUAAUGGAAGUGUCAUCAUACAAAUAUUGUUAGGAAUGGCAACUGGGCGGGUUGGGGCAGAUACUUGAGUAUCCAUGAUUGCCCCGCUCUCCUUGCCGGUCCCGUGCCAGUAAGGCCAGGCGGAUCCAUGCCUGCCCUGUCUCGAGAUUGGAGAAGAUUUUAUAGCAAUGAAGAAAAAUGAGUAGACUAUCACUGUCGCAUUUCACUUAUUCAUUUGUCAUUUGUCAUUGCCCCUAAUAUAUUUUUGUCACCAGUUAGCCUCAAACGUUGACAUUCCGUCUAAUAUUUAUACAUUUCCGUUAACUUUCGUGACGGAAAAUUCAUGGA